UGGGGCCUGAGAACGACCCAGAGACCUAUCUGGUGACUUUCAAGUGGGUUGCCUCAGUGGCUGAUUGGGCACCUGGCCAAUGGGUGACACUCCUCACGCCCUAUCUGAUGGGGCCCGCUCAGAGAGCUUACUGCAGAUUUCCGGAUGAUGAGGCCUGCAUCUAUGCCCAAAUGAAAAUGGUGAUCCUGGACACAUUGGACAUCACCCCGGAGACAUUUUGGUGACGGUUUCAGGGGAAGGUCUACCCGCCGGGCACCCGACUCCGGGCUGUGGCCCAGGAAUUAAAGGAUGCCUGUUGCCAAUGGCUACAGCCCGAGCGUUGGACAGCAGCUGAGGUCAUCCUCAAACAAUUUGUACACAUCCUCCCAACCCAGCGAAGGGCAUCGGUUUUGCGGCACCAGCACAGAACCAUGAGCACGGCCUUCACACUUAUGGAGGACUUUCUAGAAGUGGAGGCCCCGAUAAAACCGGCAUCCCACCCCCCACCCUCCUGGGCCGGCACACAGAAACCUGAAAGGGGGCCCACAUCCAAACCUGAUGCGCCACCCCAUACCCAACGACCGGACGGCAAUGGGACCGACCUUCCCCGAUGCCCAGAGCCCGCACCUGGCACCACGUCUGGGCUCUUGACCUGGCUACUGGGCCCUAGCCAAUCCUGCAGUACAACCAAUGCACCAGCGCAGCCAGGGCCCGGAGGCAGGACCUUGCUUUUGGGGUGGCGAGUACGGACAUCUGCAGCGAGACUGCACUGUGAUGGAUUGCGACUUUGGCCAGGUGUACACUGGGGAGUUGUGGGCCUGUCCCCUGUCCACUGAAAAACUGACAGUCCCCAUGGAAGUCAUGGGGACCCACGUUAUUGGUCUAGUUGAUUCAGGAUGUGGGCAGACCCUUGUCUUCCGGGCACUUGUCCUGGAUGCCAAGAAGAGCAUUGGGGAGGUACAUAUUCAGUGCAUCCAUGGAGAUGUGAAACUGUACCCCAUGGUUUGGGUUCUUCUGAUGGUGAACAGGGUGACCCAGUUAAUGAACAUGGCACUGGCAUCCUCCUUGGACUACCUGGUUAUUCUGGGCCGUGACUGGCCAGACUUCAUUGAGGUAGUCCGAUCCCUACCAACAGAAGAAGCAUUCGAGGGAACUCCACCAGACACGAUGUCUGACCCCAGAGUCACAACAGCUCCCACUCCUGAUCAGGACUGUCCAGAGACAGCUGGUUCCCCCCCACCCCCUGCCGACCUUGCAGACUUUAGUCAAGACCAAAGGGAAGACCCUACACUGUGGUUUGCCUAUGAGCCGCUGGCCUAGGCAGAUGGCAAGGUCGUGAAGGCCCAGCACAUGACCCAAUGGCCUAGGUAGGCCCUGCUGCUGAACCAGGGGACCCCAUGGACCAGGGAAAAUCUGACCCAGAGGAAAGACUCAUGCUACCAGGACUGCUGGCCACGAGUACCCCAAGGAAUUGUAGGAGCUGGGCAGCGACUCGAGCCCAAUGCUAAGAGUGAGCUGGAGCUACCAGGGCUACCGGCAGCUGAAUACCCCAAUGAGUUGGAAGAACCAGAGGGGCUCACUGGAGAGACCAGGAGGAAGGAAGACAAAAGAAUCCUGACUGUCUAUCCAAGAGCAAAAGACCUUCCUCCUGCUUCAGAGGAACCUAAUCAGGAACACAUCAGCCAGUUUAUAUACCAGAUACUGGGAGAGGCUGAGAGGCUGCAUUGCUGUAGCAGGGCUAAGGAUGAAGACCAAGUCAGGGCUGAGCCUCACCAAUGAAACAGUGGGGAAUUAUCCCUCCUGCCACGCAGGGGAGCUGAAGCUCGGGGGCUCAACAGUGCACAAGCAAUGCCCCCACUAGUG